rnacentral:tRNA from 1 species
GGUUUCAUAGUGUAGUGGUCAUCACGUCUGCUUUACACGCAGAUGGUCCUGGGUUCAAUCCCCAGUGACCCCA